AAUGAUAAAUAAAUAGAUUACUAUUAAAACUCAGGGGGAAAUGAAAAUGGGAACAAUCGUAUGCCAAGUAUGUGAAGGAACAAUUGGACAUUUUGAAGAUGAAAAAUCAACAGUACUAUACGGGAAAUGUGGAUCUCAUUGCGAAUGUGACCAUAAAGAACAUACAAAAGCUUAAUAAUAAGAAAAAGCGCCUACAUGUGUAGGCGCUUUUUU
rfam:Bacillus thuringiensis serovar israelensis ATCC 35646 sq1730, whole genome shotgun sequence.